AGAAAAGAAGAGAACUUGCCUCUGAGGCAUCACACUCAAAGUACGUACAGAUCGCACCUCCCUGGCAGUUCCGCUAAUGACAGAAAGACUCAGAGGAGCAGGAAGCGUCUGCAGAUGGCUAGAGGUGAUCCAGGAAUUCUGAAUGCAUGGAUGCUAUUCUAAUACCAUGUUUUAGCCUACAGAAUGAACUUCAUGCACAGGAUAGACAGCCAAGAACAAAAGCUGUAAGAAUUAGUACCAUUUAGCUUCUUACAAUGUGGAAUUUUUUCAACAACGAGGAAUAUAUAAAAGACUGACAUCAAGUUACCUUAAAGCCAAUGAAGAACUAGAACAUUCAGUAAAUUUUUGGAAGUCUUCAUAGCUAACCUGGAAGCAAAAGCUUGGGAAACUGUCUCAAUGAACAAAUUUAAGAAGUAACAUACUGUGUAAUCACAGAAAUUGCUUCCUAAACUAAUGCCUGGAGAGCUACACAUACUGAGUUAAACGUUGCUAAGUUGAAGAUCCUAAACCUGACAUAAUAGCACAAUCAGAGACAAAACAAGCAGUCCAACAGAAAGAAAAGUAAUAAAGUUUUCAUUGUUGUACUACAGAUCUGCAAGUUAGAUCUGUCUUUCUAAGUGCAAAACCCUGGCAUCCUAUGAAAAGGGGAGUCAGUUUAUGUCGUCUUAAGAUGGCUGGGAGAAAAAGACUACAUCUAUAAGCUAUCUCUUGGAUAAGUACACACCUGCUUGCACCUGCUUGCCAAGGGCAACAUAGAAAUACUUUGAAUUGUUUCCUUGUAAAUGGUUUGUACCUUCUCUACAUAACAAAGCAAAUGACACCAGAUAGUCUGGUCAGUAUUCUGCUAGCUGCAAACGAAUAUCUGCACACAUCAGAAACUUUUAGAUAACAAAAAAUAGCACAAAGAUAAAACAUUAGUUUAUUAACAACUCUAAUUACUCAAAAAGGAGGAAAAUACGGUGAUGCGGUAUUGAUGAUAUACAAAA